GGACCGGUGGUCUAGUGGUCAUGACUUCUCCUACCUGUUUCUAGGCGACGUGAGGGCCCUGGUUAAUUCCAGUGGAGUCCCCCCCUCCUUUGCCUGAGGUUUGGGGAAUACCUGCGUUCGAAUCGCAGCCGGUCCA